GAGGAAAGAGGGAGGCGUGCUUAACACAUGCAAGUCGAACGAAGAGCGACGGAGGUUGGCUUCUAUCCAUCUUAGGCGCGAACGGGUGAGUAACGCGUAAUCAACCUGUCCUUCAGUGGGAGACAACAGGGGGAAACGACUGCUAAUAGCGCAUACUAUUUAACCGCGGCGUCGAAUAUAGAUGAACGGUUGCGUCUACAUUUAAGCUAGCAUCGGAGGAGGGUUUUGCGUCUGGUUAGGUAGUUGGAGGGGUAAGGGCCCACCCAGGCGAUGAUCAGUAGGCGGUCUGAGAGGAUGGACGGCCCCAUUGGGACUGAGACCCGGCCCAGACCUCCACGGGAGGGCGCCGUGGGGAAUCCUCCGGCAUAGGCGAAAGUCUGGCCGAACCACGCCGCGUGAGGGAUGACGGCUCUCGGGUUGUAAAGCUCCGUUUAUCGGGACGAAACGCCUUCUUGCGAAUAGUGAGACGGAUUGACGGUACCGGAAUAGAAAGCCACGGCUAACUACGUG
rnacentral:rRNA from 1 species